ensembl:lncRNA
CAGGGCUUCAUAUAUCAUCCAAGGCCUGUAUAACAGAACAUUCUACUGCUAAAAACACACCUGCUGACGGUGUUUUCCUCGACAAACCCCCUCUGUAGAAACGUUUGAUCCUAACGUCCCGACAAAAUAAAAGCAAAUGCUGAAAUCUGCAUUUGUGGAAAAGGUGAAACAAAGAAUUCAUCAUAAAGUAAGACUUUACCGUUCACCUGUAGCGUCUCUGCUUAAUCAUUCGUGUCAGCUUAGUUGGUUGCUGAGAAAGAAACCUGAGCCUGAUCACAGAUUACCAUCACCGAAUGAGCACUAGUGACACUCAGUGGAUUAUCCAGGAACAGCCAGUCCUAAAACGUGAGCUCCAAUUAUCCUUCUAGAUCAGGGGUAUCAAACAUGCAGCCCAGGGGCCAAAUCCCGGCCCGUCAAAGGAUCCCCCUGCCCCACUGUGCGGCUUCAGAAGGUUUUGUACUUUUGUACAUCAGCUGUGAUCCCUAGAUUUUAACACACGUGCAAUGACAGUAGCUCAUGACUGUUGGAAAAACAGACCUGCAGCAGGCAGCGGAGACCACUCACUGAAAAGGAGGAAUCUAUGGAUGGUAAAAUGGUAAAUGGCCUGUAUUUGUAUAGCGCUUUACUCGUCCCUAAGGACCCCAAAGCGCUUUACAUAUCCAGUCAUCCACCCAUUCACACACACAUUCACACACUUGUGAUGGCAGCUACAUUGUAGCCACAGCCACCCUGGGGCGCACUGACAGAGGCG